UUAUGGAACCAUCUAGGAUUGUACAGUUGCAUGCAAAAGUAUUCUUGAUAUUUUUCUAUAAAAUAACAACUGAGUGAACCACCAUCACCAGAUGUAAGAUGUGAAACUGUAAUGUUUUCACUGACUGCUGCUUAUACCGUAACACCCUUUACAGAGCCCUGGCGGGAGAAUCCAUAUCCCAUUUUAAGCAUCACCACUGCAGACAAAGAAGUUUGGUAGAUGUUUGCCCACAAUUAGAUGAUGGGACCACAUGCCCAGCAUGUCCAAAGGCGGAUGGAGAUAUGAUAGUGACAUUGGAUGCCAACUUUGGCCUUGUGAUGAAGCAAAGCUCAGGGACAAGUGUAGUUGAGCCAUUACAUGGAACCCGCAUAUUUGUUGAUGAAAAGGAUGUAGAGGAGUACCUGCUAUCACAUCUUGACAGCUCAAAGCCACACGAAGACUGCAGUGACUUUAAGGCUGGCAAUGUGUUGAGGUCACAACAACAAGCAAAGACGUAACAGGAGUGUUUGGAGCAUCCUGUCGUCAUGAAAUGCCCCUAAUGUUUGUCAACAUGAGCCAAGGAGAAUUAUUUUUAUACAAAUAUAAUUAUUUUUAACUUUUCCUCAGUAUAAAGUGUUUUAUCAUUCACAUUUUUGUGUUGGAAUAGAUUAGCCUAUCCCCUGUAUGUCACCGAUGCGUUACUUCAAAGAUGUAAGGACAAGAACAUACACCUGCGAGUAGUCUAUGACAUUGCCUGUGUUGUUGCCUCACAUUUGCAGAAAUCAGGGGAGGGCAUACCACACAACAUCUCCUUGGCCAUACCAGCAUUUCAUGUUUAUGGACACAAAUUGCCCUGCCAGGUAAUUCAUUGACUUCAUAGGGACAUCAGGACAUGUUACACACACAAUUCACUCCUUGUUUGGCCUCCAUUUUUCCUGUCUAUCCACUGCAAAGCUGAAAUGAGCUAGAAAUGCCUAAAAAUAAU